rnacentral:rRNA from 1 species
UACGAAGGGGGCUAGCGUUGUUCGGAAUUACUGGGCGUAAAGCGCGCGCAGGUGGUCUUUCAAGUCAGUGGUGAAAGCCCGGAGCUCAACUCCGGAAAUGCCAUUGAAACUGUAAGACUUGAGGAUGAGAGAGGUGAGUGGAAUUCCCAGUGUAGAGGUGAAAUUCGUAGAUAUUGGGAAGAACACCGGUGGCGAAGGCGGCUCACUGGCUCAUAUCUGACGCUCAGGCGCGACAGCGUGGGGGUCAAACAGG